rnacentral:rRNA from 1 species
AUUGAACGCUGGCGGCAGGCCUAACACAUGCAAGUCGAGCGGAUGAAGGGAGCUUGCUCCUGGAUUCAGCGGCGGACUGGUGAGUAAUGCCUAGGAAUCUGCCUGGUAGUGGGGGAUAACGUCCGGAAACGGGCGCUAAUACCGCAUACGUCCUGAGGGAGAAAGUGGGGGAUCUUCGGACCUCACGCUAUCAGAUGAGCCUAGGUCGGAUUAGCUAGUUGGUGGGGUAAAGGCCUACCAAGGCGACGAUCCGUAACUGGUCUGAGAGGAUGAUCAGUCACACUGGAACUGAGACACGAUCCAGACUCCUACGGGAGGCAGCAGUGGGGAAUAUUGGACAAUGGGCGAAAGCCUGAUCCAGCCAUGCCGCGUGUGUGAAGAAGGUCUUCGGAUUGUAAAGCACUUUAAGUUGGGAGGAAGGGCAGUAAGUUAAUACCUUGCUGUUUUGACGUUACCAACAGAAUAAGCACCGGCUAACUUCGUG